GCCCGCCGCGCCCCGCGCCCGUCCCGCCCCCGCCCACGGGUGCAGCAGGCGGGAUAAUACGUAGGGGGCAAGCGUUGUCCGGAAUCAUUGGGCGUAAAGGGCGUGUAGGCGGAAAUUUAAGUUCGAUGUGAAAUAUAGGGGCUUAACCUCUAAAAUGCAUCGGAAAGGGGGAGUCUUGAGAUCUGGAGAGGAAAGUGGAAAUCCACGUGUUCCCGUUAAAUGCCCAAAAAUUUUCGCCCGCCGCGCCCCGCGCCCGUCCCGCCCCCGCCCAAGGGUGCAGCAGGCGCGAAAGCGUGGGGAGCAAACAGGAUUAGAUACCCUGGUAGUCCACGCCGUAAACGAUGAGUGAUAGGUGUAGAGG
rnacentral:rRNA from 1 species